CAGUGCAAGGCAGCACAGUAACACCAGGGUGGACUCCACAAAACUCAUCGGUAGCGUUACGUUAAUAACACAAUCCCACAGCGAAUGGCAGGUGUAAUAGCAACACCUUAUCGAGGCCCGAGGAGAGAUUAGGGGAGGCUCAGUGAGGAAUAGGCCUGUAUCUUCCCUGAAAGCAAGCAGACAAGAGCUUGCUUACAGCAGGACACCAGUAGAGCCACGAGGACCAACCACUCCUGCAUACUUGUUCAUCUAUUUACUAUGGAAAGAAGCACCGCUGGAGGCACAGAAGAAGAGGAGGAGGAAGUGGAGGAGCAAGGGGCAAGGUUAAGAUGGGUGAGCGCUCGCCAAACUAAGUAUCGAACAUGAAGCCGAGCAGUUAAUAGGACAACCAUAAUACCUGCUGGAGUGAUGUCACAGGGUUGCACGAGUGAAGCCAAGCCCUGCGCAACCCAUCCCUCCCUCAAUGUGUCGCUCCUAAUUGGGCUAGUGUGGAGUGUUCUGAGGGCGCUGCUGCCAAGAUCAACGCCCGGAAUUUAAAUGAAGCUUAAUAUGUCCUUGUACCACCAUUGGCUUUCCUGUUCAAGUUCGAAGAGCCUUGGGUAAGCUGAUGUAUAAUCUAGCCCUUAUAAACAUGACUAGAUUAUACAUGUAUAAUCUAGUCAUGUUGGCAAGUAAUUUUCUUUUGACUAAAUUC